UCUUAUGGAUGAGCAAAGAAAGCGGUCUCUUGAGAUACAAUUUACUCCUGGUGAAGAUGCUGUGAA
rnacentral:pre_miRNA from 1 species